rnacentral:lncRNA from 1 species
AGGAUUCUUGUUUUUGGCUUGAGUAGUCUUUGAAAAUGAGUUAGUGACUUAGAGAAAUGUCUUGUGGCAGCAAAGAUUGGCUUGAUUGGAGAAAAAUUGGUAACAUGUAAGCCAAUAAACCUAUGGGUACAUGAAGGACUCAAAGUGGAAAAGGAAAACGGUAAGCUUAACACUAUGUUUUAAAGCCAUCGUUAGUUGAAUAUUGUGAGGAAUUAUGGUUGUUGAAAGGAUCUAUUUGCCUAAGCUAGUUAAAAAUUAUUAAGAUUGUAUGGCAUGUUGUUUGAAAGAAAUGAAAAAGGAAUAUUGUGGAUGGAAGAUUGAGAAACAAAGUAUUGAAAGUUAGAUAGAUAAUGAUGCAUGUAAACUAGGAAAUAAUCGAGUGAAAGUGAGAAUGAUUGUUGUUGCCAUAUAUGUGGAUUAUGUGUGGAAAUAUAAGAUGGAUUUGGUCGAAAAUUAUUUAGAAAGGUUGAAGUAGGCACGUGACAUCAUAAAUAAGUUGCCGGAGAUAUAAAAUAAGGAAUUAUGUGAGCAACUGAUAUAAGUAAUUUCAGUAAAAAUGUAUUAAGAUGUGAGUUAAUUGAAGAUGGUUUCAUGAUAAGGUGAAAAAUAUAAAUUUAAGUAAGGAUUAAUUGAUUGAAGUGCUAUCCGUAUACAUAUGUAAUUAAAUAUAUUGAGUUGGUAUUAUUGCUAGGAAGUGCAAAGGCAAGGUUAGAGUACUGUGGUGGCGUGCCAGAGUAAAUAACGAGCAACCGACCGGUGAAAAUAGUUAGAGACACCUCUGAACAAAUAGCGACUUAAUAUCUCGUUGUUACAAGGUGAGUGAACUUGCAUUUCAAAAUUGCUUUGGAAAAUAUAAUUGUAUUUAGAUGAAACAUUUGAAUGAUUUUAUCCAACUUUUCUUUAAAAAUGUGUGUCGGGGAACAAGCCCUUGAUAAAAUGUUUUGAUGUUGUGAAAAUGUGAAAUGUACGAAAAGAUUAACCCAUGUGCUCCUAUAUUAUGUUGGUAUGUAUAUAUAUGAAUAUAUGUUGUGCAUUGAUGAAUAAUGUUGUGUGAUGAUGAUUGUCACGACCCAAAUUCUGGGCCAUGACCAACUCAUGGGCCCAAUGGACGUAGUCCACUAAGCCCAAGCAAGCCUAUUAAUCUGACGAGUUCAUCAUAAACUACUAAGUCACAUUUCAUAACUUAAAAUCAAAGUAAUAUUAAACAUUGUCACCUCAUACUAGCAUACUUAUUUAAAAUAUACAUACAUUGUCUACAACAUGUAUUCUAAUAAUUUACAUUAAGUUUGUCUAUACAUAUCAAAAGGAGACUCGAUGUCCAGCGGACAAACUCG